rnacentral:rRNA from 1 species
GACGAACGCUGGCGGCGUGCCUAAUACAUGCAAGUAGGACGCAGUUGCGAACGGGUGAGUAACGCGUAGGUAACUACCUAUUAGAGGGGGAUAACUAUUGGAAACGAUAGCUAAUACCGCAUACUAGUAGAUGGACCUGCGUUGUAUUAGCUAGUAGGUAGGGUAAAGGCCUACCUAGGCAACGAUACAUGGCCGACCGGCGAGGGUGAUCGGCCAAACUGGGAGUUGGACACGGCCCAGACUCCUACGGGAGGCAGCAGUAGGGAAUCGUCGGAAAUGGGGGGAAGCCUUACCGAGCAACGCCGCGUGAGUGAAGAGGGUUUUCGGAUCGUAAAGCUCGGUUGUUAAGGAAGCGGUACUUAACCAGAAAGGGACGGCUAAGUACGGACCAGCAGCCGCGGUAAUAC